CCCUUAGAUGUCCGGGGCUGCACGCGCGCUACACUGAAGGAAUCAGCGUGCUAAAACCAUUGUCGAAAGGCAUUGGUAAACCCAUUAAAAUCCUACGUGAUUGGGAUCGGGAAUUGCAAUUAUUUCCCUUGAACGAGGAAUUCCCAGUAAGUGUGGGUCAUAAGCUCGCGUUGAUUACGUGCCUGCCCUUUGUACACACCGCCCGUCGCUGCCCGGGACUGAGCCGUUUCGAGAAAAGCGGGGACUGCUGCUGUCGGGGCUUUCGGGCCUUGGCUUCGGUGGAAACCGCUUUAAUCGCAGUGGCUUGAACCGGGCAAAAGUCGUAACA
rnacentral:rRNA from 1 species